GUUUCCUGGCACCAGAGAUACACAGUAUAACACCGUGUGAGGAUGAAGAAGGAUAUUUAGUGUCGAUCCUAGAAUAAUAAAGAGUAGGUUAGGGAACAGAUAGGAAUACAAUAUAAUAGGUUCAAUAGAUAAUAGAAUAGGGCUAGGUUCAAGUGAAAUAGAAAUAGCGAGUGUGUGGGAAAGCAUGAGUGCAUGAGGUAACUUGCUUUGUCCCAAGCUUCUUAGGAUUUUUCUAGG